CGGGCCGGGCCGCGGCAGCACCGGGCUGGGGUGCGCGCGCAGGUGAGGGCCCCGCCGCCCCGCCCCGCUCCGCCCACUGCACACCUGCUUCCGCCUGACGUGGACCUGGGAGCGGUUCCCAAACCCUGGCGCGGUUUGGGGUUUGUGAUACCAGGUGCUUGGAAGCUGCUUUGGAUAAAGAGCGCUGAGUCCCAGGAUGCAAGCUUGGCCUCACUGCCUUCAUUUUAUGUGUGUCUCCUUUGCUCUGGGUCAGACUCCUGCUUGACUCUGCACAGCAUUAGAAUUCAGAUGUCUGCCUUCACAGUUAUCUCCUUUGGCAAGCACGCAAAGCCAGGGCCAGCUCUGGACAAACGCAUCCAAGGACAAAUGGCCGAUAGAAUGAGCUCCACAGACCACCUGCUGGGUAAAAUCCAUAUGGAGACACCACCAAGGCCAGAUGGAUGUUAGAUGCUGCCACGAUUUCCUUGCUGUGAUGAACUCUACCUUCAGAUUGUGAGGCACAAUCAACCCUUCCUUUCGCAUGUCCUCAGGUAUUUUGUAAUGAGUAAAGAGGCUUCUCCAGAAACGAGAAGUAGAACAACCAUGGUCCAGUUAUUCCACUCGUGGGAACACACCCAAAGGCUCUGUGUCCUUGGUAUCCCUAGGGAUGCUCACUCAUUCAUGUUUAUCACUUCUUUGGUCAUGGUAGCAAAAAAAUGGAACCAGCCUAGAUGUUCAUCAGUGGAUGAAUGGAUAAUUAAAUUGUGGUCUAUAUGAUCUAUAUAAUGUGAAUUUAUUUGCCAUAACGAAAAAUGAAUUUAUGAAAUUUAUAAGUAAGUGGAUGGAUCUUGAAAAUUAUUUUAAGUGAGGCAACCCAGAUUA